ACUAACACAAAUGGUGUCAGAAGUGGGAUAUUGUAUGGGCAUCAAAGAAAAAUUGGACACUAAUAUAUUUGAUUAAUCUUAAAACAUUUGCACCUCCCAUUGUGAGCGUGAGUCUGUGUGAAUUAAAAUACCUCCGAUUGUAUACCUCUGCUGGCUGGAAGCGCUAUUGGUUAGCAUUUGACCCUCAUUUCGAUGUGUGUGUCGUAAAUAAAAUUAUUUGCAUAGAAUAAUUGUUUACUGUCUGUUAUACAUGUAGUUGUAAAUUAUUUCUUUGUUGAGUUUGCAAUUGCAUCUUAUUCAGUUGAUAAUCGUAAAGGUGAAUAAAACAAAACAGGCACAUCUGAGUAACACAUGGGCCAUCCCUGGUAGCGUCUUGAGGGACAACCUCAGGUGGCAGUGCGGGAAGGUCUACCCUUCCCACCUGGAUGACCUCAGAGGCAUUUUAAUGAGCCUUGGGGCGGACACCUUCAAGUAGCCACCGACAGCAGACCAACAGGCAAGCGAUGGUAGUCAUCGGGGUGCUUGCAUUAAGGGCUUCCAAAAGCAACCCCUCAGUCAACCGCAGCGGUGAUGAAAGCAACCUCAGCUGAUGAAGGCCCGGCCAUCUCUAGAAUUGGAGCCAGCUCCCGGGAUGGUGCGUUCAUAUAUCCUCCCUGUUCCUUGAGGAGGACGUCCCAGCAACCUGAGGGGAAGUCCUUGGCCAACUGCUUCUCUUAAUCUACUCAUGGAUGAUCCAGAGAUCCUUCAGAUGACAUCCGAAACUCCAGCCCCUCCAGCGGUACCAACUACCCGUCCCUUCCAGCGCCCUCCAGUGGCAAGCCUUUGGCCCUGUUGUAGGCCCAGGAGGCCCACGAGCCGUCAUCAGCUAGAGGUAGUGAGGAUAUUAUAGCUGAGAAUGAUGUUGACGCUACACUAAUGCGGCGUCACACAUCUUCAAUGCAGCCAGUACCAUGAAGAAGAUGUUUCUCGAGACCGCCUUGGAGGGAAGGGUGACGAAGGUAACUGAGACCGUCAACAAAUACAUACUACAGACAAUGACACAAGCUGAUCUCUGAAGCAAGUAUAGUGAGCCAAUGUGUGUACAUGUAUGUGAAAACGAUCUCGCCACCAAACAUGCCAAAUGAAUUACUGUGAACAAUUUUUGUAUUUGAUUUAAUGUUGCUAUUAUCGUAAACUAAUUGAACAGGGACCACUCAGGUCUCGAAUGGGCAAUGAGGCUGUGUAACGGAAAUUAGUUUACUGACACGACCAACAAUCGUGCCAUGUAUUUUGUUUACUGCUGCAGCACGUAAAUGAGUACCGUGUACUAGCUAGCGCAUGGAGCACUUACAUGUAGUUGAGCGCAUUGGCAUUUCACUUGUGCAUAGAGCGCGCUAUUGGGCACUUGCAUUUUUUGGCGCUGCUUAUCUCAAGUUUAGGUGUGCUGGUAAAUCUUUAUGUAUACUUUGCAUAUCACAUUUGGUGAUAUUUGUAGGGACGUUCAAGUUGGUUGCUAAUUAGUAACCUGAAGUUCACGGGCUCUAGCCAAAUUGUUGCCCUUAACACCAGAUUGUUUGUGACUUGUGUCCUUGCUAAUCCAAAUUUCCUAAUUCCAAGUUAGACAAUUAUGCAAAUUAGCAAGCUACUUGAAAAGCCUUGGGGUGUGGCAAUCGUCUUGACCGAUAAGAGGAUUUUGAUAUUGAUGAAUGAGUUAUUUGUGACCUGCAAACAAGUGAAUCUUAGGAAAAAAAUCUGUCCUUAGAGCGUGAUAGUUUUGUUGCUUGUAGGACACCUCCUGGAGGUCUGAUUGAAAUUUGUUUAUAGUAUUUGCACCUCUGGAGGGAGAGUGCAGAGGAUCACCUCAGCAUAAGAAGCCAAAGACACUCGAGUACAUGUAGUUCAUUAACUAUUUCUGGUUAUUGUUGAUAUUUGUAUUUGCUUAAUAAUAAAUAAAUUCUUGAGUUGUUGUUCAUCUUGUGUUCAAUUGUUUGUUCAUUUAGUCCGUCGGAUCUAACCAUAAAUUAGGAUGCACUUUAGGAAAACGAAUAUCCGCACAGGCUAUACUUAGUGGCGAUUAAUGGCGCCACCCUGCUUUAAAGGGUUAAAUUAUCAAAACUGUUUAUCAAAAAACACUGGCAAAUUUGCCUCAGAAUUGAGCCUGAAAAUACGCCAUUAUGUAUUUGAGAUAAGACAAAAAAAGCGGGCUUGUAAAAAUGACCGCGGGCUAGUUAAGAGUCUGUUUCAGUAGCCCAGCUGGUUACUGAACAAAAAAGUUAAGGUUGAACCCUGUAAUUGCCAUUGAAUUGUCUGUUGCUUUUUUCCAAGUGUCGUCAUCUUCAAUCAGGCUGACAGGAACCCAAUCUACCGAACUUCACCCCCAUCAACCUUGGUCACAUGCUUAAGAGGGCAGUAGAAUUACAAGAUUGUUGAAUGCCUCUUGUGAGAACAAUAAGAGGAACACAAGGAUACACAUUCAGCGAGGUUGUUGAGGCAACGACCAGCGUCUUUCACCAGUUGUCCUGGUCUUCUACGACAUGUCUAUUUUUCCAGGGGCCUAGGAUGGACAUUAGGGUCAUCCAUGCUCAUCGUAGAGUAGCUGUCUUCAACCUCUCUGCCAUCUGUCUGCGAGGGAUGCCAAAUCACAAGGCCACUGAGGAGGUUGCAAUGGGUAGCCAGAGGGUGGAGCUGAUGUCCAAGCCAACGAAGCUGACGUGUGAUGGGAGAGGUCCUGGAUGCUGACUGUGCCUAGCUAUAUAGACAGGACCGGAUGAGUAAGUUUUCCUCUCUCAAAAUUCAUCAAAAGCCUGUCACACUAGCACAAGAAGAGGAACACAUGUUUCAGUUGUCACAACUUUUCCUCUAUCGACAUACGUUGAAAGGCUGUUACCAGUACCACAAAAAGAAGAGCACAUGUCUUUCAGUGGUUGUCCCAACUUGUCCUCUAUCAAAAUUCGUUGAAAGCCUGUCAUCAUGUAGGAAGAGGAACACAUGUGUUUCAGGUUUUCCUGCUCUUACCAAGAAGACGUUGCUCUUGAUCCUGGAAUGCCCUGAAACUGCACCACUUUGUGAUGACAUCAAACAUCAGAGAAACUACAUCCAAGGUGCCUUGGGCCUAUUUAGAAUGUACUAGGCUGUUAAAUGAGAAAAAAAGGUUAAAUGGGCAAUUCCAUGCUGGUUGACACACAAGACCAAAAAAUAAACAAAUUUAUCGUUUGUUCAAGUUUGAUUCGCUGAAGAGACACAAUAUAACGUGGCAUUUUUAAAACUGAAAUAUAGUCUAGUCCUAUGUGCGCACUGUUUUGUGAGUUACGUACGGUACACCAUCACAUCAAAGUCUGCAAUGACGUCAUGAUGACUUAUGGAUGCACUGGUGAGGAAUUUUUAAUUAGUCUUUUGCUAUCUAUACAGUUAUAUUUCAAUUUGCUAUGUUACCGUUUUGAAGGCGUCUUUGUGAAAAUGGAUGUUAUUUUUCAGUUUUCAAUUUUAGUCAGAUUUUGCUUGUAAUAUGAGAUAUAUAUUGAAUGAUUUGAAAGCCAUCAAAAGUGAUUUUAUGUAAAUGGCUACAUUUCCUAACCAAUGAAAUAUUCAGUUAACUUUCCUUAGCUUGAGUUCUCAGAAGUGUUAAAAAACGAUUUGUCAGAAGUUUUUGUUUUUAUACUUAGGCCAGCCAUGAAAUAUUGUAAUAGUAUUGGGCAUGUGUAAUGUCAUGCAGUCACAUUAUUGCACAGUCUGUACUCCAUAAUUGAGGAAUGAAAUAAAAAAUAUAUUUGUUUUGCUUUUGGGCACAAGUAGUCUAUCAUUGUCCAUUCUGAUGGGGUGGGGUGGGGUGGGGGAAGUCUUCCCUGUGAGAACUGAAUUAUUGUUUGGCACCAAAUAGUUUAAUAUUCAUAAUUCCUUAUUACUAACGUUGGCUGAUUUUAUAUUUGUUGAUUUUAUAUUUGUUGUUGGUUCAUUGGAUAUCUUAGGAAGUGCUACAGAAACAGGAAUUAAAAUU